AACGAACGCUGGCGGCAUGCCUAACACAUGCAAGUCGAACGCUCGCAAGAGAGUGGCGGACGGGUGCGUAACACGUGGGAACCUGCCUUUGGGUACGGAACAACACCGGGAAACUGGUGCUAAUACCGUAUAAUGUCUACGGACCAAAGAUUUAUCGCCUGAAGAGGGGCCCGCGUUGGAUUAGCUUGUUGGUGAGGUAAAGGCUCACCAAGGCGAUGAUCCAUAGCUGGUCUGAGAGGAUGAUCAGCCACACUGGGACUGAGACACGGCCCAGACUCCUACGGGAGGCAGCAGUGGGGAAUAUUGGACAAUGGGCGGAAAGACCUGAUCCAGCCAUGCCGCGUGCAGGAUGACGGCCCUCUGGGUUGUAAACUGCUUUAGAUCGGGAAGAAAGUUAUAUAUGUAUAUGUAAUUGACGGUACCGGUAGAAUAAGCACCGGCUAACUCCGUGCCAGCAGCGCGGUAAGUGACGUCAGA
rnacentral:rRNA from 1 species